rnacentral:rRNA from 1 species
CCUACGGGUGGCAGCAGUGAGGAAUAUUGGUCAAUGGGCGCGAGCCUGAACCAGUCAAGUCGCGUGAGGGAAGACGGCCCUACGGGUUGUAAACCUCUUUUGCCGGGGAGCAACGGGCGCCACGUGUGGCGCCACUGAGAGUACCCGGAGAAAAAGCAUCGGCUAACUCCGUGCCAGCAGCCGCGGUCAUAUGGAGGAUGCGAGCGUUAUCCGGAUUUAUUGGGUGUAAAGGGUGCGUAGGCGGAGCGUUAAGUCAGUGGUCAAAUUGAGGGGCUCAACCCCUUCCCGCCAUUGAAACUGGCGCUCUUGAGUGGAAGAGAAGUAUGAGGAAGGCGUGGUGUAGCGGUGAAAGGCAUAGAUAUCACGCAGAACCCCGAUUGCGAAGGCAGCAUGCCGGCUUCCUACUGACGCUGAAGCACGAAAGCGUGGGGAUCGAACAGGAUUAGAUACCCUUGUAGUC